rnacentral:rRNA from 1 species
AGAGUUGAUCCUGGCUCAGGAUGAACGCUGGCGGCGUGCCUAAUACAUGCAAGUCGAACGAGGUAGCAAUACCGAGUGGCGAACGGGUGAGUAACACGUAGGUAACCUGCCCUUAAGCUUGGGAUACCCAGAGGAAACUUGGCUAAUACCGGAUAACAACAGAGAAGGCAUCUUCUUUGCUUGAAAGGCCCCUUCAAGGGUCACUUAAGGAUGGACCUGCGGCGCAUUAGCUAGUUGGUGAGAUAACAGCCCACCAAGGCGAGGAUGCGUAGCCGAACUGAGAGGUUGAUCGGCCACAUUGGAACUGAGACACGGUCCAAACUCCUACGGGAGGCAGCAGUAAGGAGUUUUCGGCAAUGGGGGAAACCCUGACCGAGCAACGCCGCGUGAGCGAUGACGGCCCUAUGGGUUGUUAAAAAGCUCUGUUGUAAGCCAUGAAUGAUAGCUUGAGGAAAUGCAAGCUAUUUGACGACAGCUUACCAGAAGGCCACGGCUAACUACGUGCCAGCCGCUGC